GACGAACGCUGGCGGCGUGCUUAACACAUGCAAGUCGAACGAUGAAGCGGGUGCUUGCACUCGUGGAUUAGUGGCGAACGGGCGAGUAACACGUGAGUAACCUGUCCUUUUCUUUGGGAUAACGGCUGGAAACGGCUGCUAAUACUGGAUAUUCAGGCUGCAUCGCAUGGUGUGGUUUGGAAAGGUUUUUUCUGGGAUUGGGUGGGCUCGCGGCCUAUCAGCUUGUUGGUGGGGUGAUGGCUUACCAAGGCUUUGACGGGUAGCCGGCCUGAGAGGGUGGGCGGUCGCACUGGGACUGAGAUACGGCCCAGACUCCUACGGGAGGCAGCAGUGGGGAAUAUUGCACUAUGGACGAAAGUUUGAUGCAGCGACGCCGCGUGGAGGGUGUAGGCCUUCGGGUUGUGAACUCCUUUUUCUCGCGAAAAAGGCACAGUUUUGGCUGUGUUGAUGGUAGUGGGGGAAGAAGCGCCGGCUAACUACGUG
rnacentral:rRNA from 1 species